GAUGAACGCUGGCGGCGUGCCUAAUACAUGCAAGUCGAGCGAACGGACGAGAAGCUUGCUUCUCUGAUGUUAGCGGCGGACGGGUGAGUAACACGUGGAUAACCUACCUAUAAGACUGGGAUAACUUCGGGAAACCGGAGCUAAUACCGGAUGAUAUUUUGAACCGCAUGGUUCAAAAGUGAAAGACGGUCUUGCUGUCACUUAUAGAUGGAUCCUCGCUGCAUUAGCUAGUUGGUAAGGUAACGGCUUACCAAGGCAACGAUGCAUAGCCGACCUGAGAGGGUGAUCGGCCACACUGGAACUGAGACACGGUCCAGACUCCUACGGGGGGCAGCAGUAGGGAAUCUUCCGCAAUGGGCGAAAGCCUGACGGAGCAACGCCGCGUGAGUGAUGAAGGUCUUCGGAUCGUAAAACUCUGUUAUUAGGGAAGAACAUAUGUGUAAGUAACUGUGCACAUCUUGACGGUACCUAAUCAGAAAGCCACGGCUAACUACGUG
rnacentral:rRNA from 1 species